AUUGAACGCUGGCGGCAUGCCUUACACAUGCAAGUCGAACGGCAGCACGGGAGCAAUCCUGGUGGCGAGUGGCGAACGGGUGAGUAAUAUAUCGGAACGUGCCCAGUCGUGGGGGAUAACGUAGCGAAAGCUACGCUAAUACCGCAUACGAUCUAUGGAUGAAAGCGGGGGAUCGCAAGACCUCGCGCGAUUGGAGCGGCCGAUAUCAGAGUAGGUAGUUGGUGAGGUAAAGGCUCACCAAGCCGACGAUCUGUAGCUGGUCUGAGAGGACGACCAGCCACACUGGGACUGAGACACGGCCCAGACUCCUACGGGAGGCAGCAGUGGGGAAUUUUGGACAAUGGGCGCAAGCCUGAUCCAGCAAUGCCGCGUGCAGGAUGAAGGCCUUCGGGUUGUAAACUGCUUUUGUACGGAACGAAACGGCGAGCUCUAAUACAGCUUGCUAAUGACGGUACCGUAAGAAUAAGCACCGGCUAGCUACGUGCCAGCCGCCGCAGUAA
rnacentral:rRNA from 1 species